AUUGAACGCUGGCGGCAUGCCUAACACAUGCAAGUCGAACGAGAUCUUUGGGGCUAGUGGCGCACGGGUGGGGAACGCGUGGGAAUCUGCCCUUUGGUUCGGAAUAACAGUUGGAAACGACUGCUAAUACCGGAUGAUGACGAAAGGCCAAAGAUUUAUCGCCAGAGGAUGAGCCCGCGUAGGAUUAGCUAGUUGGUGUGGUAAAGGCGCACCAAGGCGACGAUCCUUAGCUGGUCUGAGAGGAUGAUCAGCCACACUGGGACUGAGACACGGCCCAGACUCCUACGGGAGGCAGCAGUGGGGAAUAUUGGACAAUGGGCGAAAGCCUGAUCCAGCAAUGCCGCGUGAGUGAUGAAGGCCUUAGGGUUGUAAAGCUCUUUUACCCGGGAUGAUAAUGACAGUACCGGGAGAAUAAGCUCCGGCUAACUCCGUGCCAGCCGCCGCCGUAA
rnacentral:rRNA from 1 species